AAGAUAUAAUUAAUUAAAAAUAAGCUUCUAACUUAAUUUUUAGCAGUGAAAUUCUGUUAAUAUCUUU
rnacentral:tRNA from 1 species